UGGGGAAUUUUGGACAAUGGGCGAAAGCCUGAUCCAGCAAUGCCGCGUGCAGGAUGAAGGCCUUCGGGUUGUAAACUGCUUUUGUACGGAACGAAAAAGCUCCUUCUAAUACAGGGGGCCCAUGACGGUACCGUAAGAAUAAGCACCGGCUAACUACGUGCCAGCAGCCGCGGUAAUACGUAGGGUGCGAGCGUUAAUCGGAAUUACUGGGCGUAAAGCGUGCGCAGGCGGUUAUGUAAGACAGAUGUGAAAUCCCCGGGCUCAACCUGGGAACUGCAUUUGUGACUGCAUGGCUAGAGUACGGUAGAGGGGGAUGGAAUUCCGCGUGUAGCAGUGAAAUGCGUAGAUAUGCGGAGGAACACCGAUGGCGAAGGCAAUCCCCUGGACCUGUACUGACGCUCAUGCACGAAAGCGUGGGGAGCAAACAGGAUUAGAUACCC
rnacentral:rRNA from 1 species